AGUUCAUGAUGAUUAAACUUUACACCAUCUUUCGACUGUUGUAUUAUUGAUGAAUUAUAAGUUUUACUCUGACUAUU
rfam:Glossina fuscipes fuscipes unplaced genomic scaffold Scaffold7, whole genome shotgun sequence.